AACGAACGCUGGCGGCAGGCUUAACACAUGCAAGUCGAACGCCCCGCAAGGGGAGUGGCAGACGGGUGAGUAACGCGUGGGAACGUGCCCUUCGCUUCGGAAUAGCCCCGGGAAACUGGGAGUAAUACCGAAUACGCCGUAUUGGGAAAGAUUUAUCGGCGAAGGAUCGGCCCGCGUUAGAUUAGCUAGUUGGCGGUGUAAUGGACCACCAAGGCUACGAUCUAUAGCUGGUCUGAGAGGAUGAUCAGCCACACUGGGACUGAGACACGGCCCAGACUCCUACGGGAGGCAGCAGUGGGGAAUCUUGGACAAUGGGCGCAAGCCUGAUCCAGCCAUGCCGCGUGAGUGAAUAAGGCCUUAGGGUUGUAAAACUCUUUCGCCGGAGAAGAUAAUGACGGUAUCCGGAGAAGAAGCCCCGGCUAACUUCGUGCCAGCCGCCGCAGUAAAAC
rnacentral:rRNA from 1 species